rnacentral:rRNA from 1 species
AGAGUUUGAUCCUGGCUCAGAUUGAACGCUGGCGGAAUGCUUUACACAUGCAAGUCGAGCGGCAGCGCGGGGCAACCUGGCGGCGAGCGGCGAACGGGUGAGUAAUACAUCGGAACGUGCCCAGACGUGGGGGAUAACUACUCGAAAGAGUGGCUAAUACCGCAUACGAUCUACGGAUGAAAGCGGGGGAUCGCAAGACCUCGCGCGUCUGGAGCGGCUGAUGGCAGAUUAGGUAGUUGGUGGGAUAAAAGCCUACCAAGCCAACGAUCUGUAGCUGGUCUGAGAGGAUGAUCAGCCACACUGGGACUGAGACACGGCCCAGACUCCUACGGGAGGCAGCAGUGGGGAAUUUUGGACAAUGGGCGAAAGCCUGAUCCAGCCAUUCCGCGUGCAGGAUGAAGGCCCUCGGGUUGUAAACUGCUUUUGUACAGAACGAAAAAGCUCUGGCUAAUACCUGGAGUCCAUGACGGUACUGUAAGAAUAAGCACCGGCUAACUACGUGCCAGCAGCCCGCGGUAAUACGUAGGGUGCAAGCGUUAAUCGGAAUUACUGGGCGUAAAGCGUGCGCAGGCGGUUUUGUAAGACAGAGGUGAAAUCCCCGGGCUCAACCUGGGAACUGCCUUUGUGACUGCAAGGCUGGAGUGCGGCA